CACGGACGGUUCUGAUUGGUCCAUAGGGUGUUCAAGCGUGUCCACGGUUCAAGGCAGGCGGAACUUUGGAGUUUGGACUUUGGAGACUGGAGAGACAUUCCAGAUAACUCACUGAAGUCGGUGCAGUGUUAUGAUGACUGUAGUUCGUCCGUCAUUGGAUUCUCAGUAAAUAUUGGCCUGUGAAUCCAGUAAAAUGAUGUCGUCAUUGGGGUCUAAACAGUGAUCCACAAAGUACCACUAUGGAGGGAACCAGGCUACUAAGAACUGAUGUUCCUGGUAGAUGUCUCCCGUGAAGUCUCGUGCAGUUGGAACCAGAUAAGGUUACUUGAAGAUGAAAAUAUACAGUUAUAUGGAUGCUGAAGGUAGCAUAUUUGAUUGGAGUUUGGAUUGAAUUUAGCAUUGUCGAUGGCUUUGGGUUUAGGAGACGUUGCUUACAGGAUCACAAACAUGUACCAUCCUACUGAAGAGAUUUGAUUCAAUCAAACUGCAAAACUCACUGUACUUCUCUCAUUUGACUUGAAUCAGAAUGACAAAUAACGAGAGGUAAAGUUAUAGAAGUUAGGUGCCUAAUGUGAAAAGAGACCAGAGGGAACUGGCGAAGAGUAGAGAGAAAGAGCGGUGCACUUGAGGCUGAAAGGAUACCAAAGAGAGACUUUAGUAAUAUCUACUUUGUGGUUGUGCUCAAGCUUAUGCCUUCAGCCUGGAUUUACUUCAGGGCAAUUAUAAGAUCAUCAGUUGGUUACUCAUAUAAUUUCCAUGUCAGUAUUUUACACACCUUCAUUCCCAUUUUUUGUCAGGUUUCCCUCAUAUGAGUUUGAUAUCUGAAGAGUUUUCUUCAUUAUCUUACGCUUAGUGUGCUUUCACUCAGAAUACCCAUGGUGGUCUCAAACUAUGCCUUACCCUUGGUGUCCUCUUCCUUCAUCAUAAACUUAUUUUCCUUGCUUUGAUAUUCUGUCCUUAGCUCCCCAUUUCUGUAUCCAAUUUUUCAAAAAAUAUUGUAAGAUAUCUUCCUCGGUUAACACCAGAACAUCUGUAUUCAGCAGCUCAUAGGGGCCUCCCUUUUUUCAUUUAUCUGUAACUUCUUCUAUGACUAUGAUUAGUGAUGAUGGGCCCUGUGCUGAUCUGUGAUGGGCCCGAGAGUUUAUUGUAGUAUUUAUAGAUUCUUUGGCUGUUUCAGUCACUAUAUUCACACAAGAUCUCACAUAGUAGUAGUAGUAGGUGGGAUAUGCCUUUGAAACGGCUCCCUUGCUUGUUUUAUUCCUCUUUUGUGUUUGUUUGAGUUUCUUCUCUCUGAAAUACCACAUUUCUUUUAUAAAAUCUUUCCUAUUCUCCACUUCCUCCCUCAGUAGAUCUACCAAUAAGAGUAUAUUUGCUACUAAUUCCUCUUUAUUUUCUUGAUAGGGUUGCUGCAUAAAGGUAUAUCUAUUUCUAAUCUCAUUGUAUGCUGGACAGUAAAGUAAGAAAUGUUCUAAAUUUUCAUUUUGUUCCUCACAGCAUAAACAUUUUGCAUCUUCUCCUUUUAAGUGUUGUCAUACCAGAUUUCUUCUCUUGUGUUUUCUUUAUAUUUUCUGUAGAUUCUUAACGUUGACUUUUCAUUCAUUUCUUUCUGCCAUGCUUUUCUGUCCCAAUUGUUUAUUAUUUCUCUUAACUGUUUGUCUUUAACUGCUUCAAUUUUACUUAAGUUUAUGUUUAGUUCUUUCAUGUACUCUUUUACUUGCAUUAUCCAGGUUUUUUUUUAUACUGAUCCAUGGUUAUCUCAUAUAGGAACCUAUUUCCACAACUCUUCAGUGUAUGUUUCAGGUAGAAUAGUUUAUUCUUGAUAUCUCUUGAGUGACAGGAAGAGGCCCCUAUUUCAGAUCUUAAUGCACAACUUGCUGUGUAACUUGGCGCUUUCAAAAUUGUUCUAUAUACUUGAUUGUCUAUCUUCUGAAAUUCAUUUAUAGUUUUCUUGUCAAGCUUCAUGACUUCCAUGGCAUACAAUGAAUGAUGGCAUCGCUAGUCCUUUCCAGUACAAUUUUCCUAUUUUUACUCUGCUACAGCUUUUAUUGAUGACUGCAUUAGCCAUAUUUGCCAUCUGCUUUGCUUUAACUCGGGCCCUUUUCAUCUGUUCUCUGAAGCAGUCUUUCAUGUUGUUGAUUGUCACUCCUAGGUAUUUAAUAUGCUUAACUAUUUUCAUUCCUUCUAUGUGCUCCAUAUUCUCUGCAUCAUCGAUACUGUACCAGUCGUUGUAUAUUAGUAUAUUACUCUUGUUCUUGUUUAUGUUUAAGCCACAUUCACUUGCGAUUUCCAUAAGAGUUUUAUUGAUUUUGUUAUUUCUUCUAGUGAGUGGCCUAGUAUUAAUCCAUCGUCUGCAUAUAAUAGUGCCACUAUCCUUAUUACUUCAUUUAUAAAACCUGUUGUAUUUUCUAAUUUUCUAUUAUCAGGUACGUUAUUAGUAGGAAGAAUAUGGUUGAGCCAUUGCAUCCCCGUCUUAUUCCAUUAGUUACAUUUAGCUCUUUUUGUUCUAUAUUGUUAAGGCAUAGGCUUGUUACAUCAUUUGUAUAUAUCUUUGCAACUGCAUUUAUUACUUCUGCAUGCAGCCUAUAUUUCAUCAUGACCUCAAUUAGCUUUUUACCAAAUGCUUUUUGAAAGUCUAUUGAUACUACAAAUAAUGGGUCCUUUCUUCUUUACGUUUCUUGUAUGCAGUAUUGUAAAAUAUAUAAAUUAUCGAUUCCUCUCCUUUGUGCGGUAAAGCCCGAUUGCAGUUCAUUCAUUUUUCCUAUAUUUCUAAAAUGCUUUUCUAUUUUGGUUUUCAGGAUCCCCAUGAAAAUUUUAUAUGAUGCAUUUGUUAGAGCAAUUGGCCUUAGAUCUUUGACUGUGGGGUUUUGUUUUUUGGGCGUAACUGUUGUUUUUUACUUAAACCAGCUUCUCUGCGUUUCCCUGCCCUUCAGUAUGCUGUUUAAACAUUCUACCAAUUCUUUUUGAAGGUUGUUACUUUGUAAGAGUAGUUUGAACAGAGCUGGCUUCAUUCCAUCUGGCCCUGGUGCUUUAUUUGCCUUCAUUUUCUCAAGUUGAUUUUUUUACAUCUUCUUCUGUUAUGUUGAUUUCUUCCAUGGGUCUUAUCUCUGUCUCUGUUAAAUCAUACACUCCAUGCAUGUGUUCCCUUAAAGAUAUAUGUUAUUUCAUCUGCUGUCCUAAUUUUUUCACUAUUUCUUCCAUGUCAUGAUUGUACUGUUCUUUCUUGCUUUCAUUCCAUAUCUCUCCUAUUUUGUUUUCUUCUUUUUGGUAUAUUGUUCCCCAGAAUUUUACCAGCUCUUUCCGGAGGGUUUCGUCCUUCAUCUCUUAUUUUCGUCGAAUAUUCUUAUCCAUUCUUUUUCUGAUGUGGUCUUUCCCCUCAGCAUGUCUAUAUAUCCCCAGAUUUUCCUGUGUCUGUUUUUAUCAUUCAUUAUCUCAUUUCUAACCUUUUCUUCAUAUCGUUCAUAUGCUUUCUUAAUUAUUAUCUGUACUUUUUGUUUUUAAGAUAUGCUUCUUCGUAGUAUCUCUUUUCUUCUAUUCUUGUGGCUUUCCUAUUUAAUUUGUUAUAUAUCCUUCUUUGGCUUAUUUUUUUCUUUGUUUGGUGACCCAUACUGGUUCUGUUUCUUCUUGCUUUCUUGUCUUUAACCUUUUUUGAUUAUCUUCUCUAAGUUAAUUGCUUUUGCUUCACUCAUUGUUUCUUCCAACUGGGUUAGAUCUCCUUUUCUGUCUUGUUGGCUUACUUUAUACUCUAUAUAUACAAGGUAUUUCCAGGUAGACUCUUCUGUAACUUUCAAAUAUUUGAUUUCUUUUGUUUCAUUUCUGAAUGUUGUCCUUACUUUAGUGUUCAUUUGAAUUGGACCUUUAUGAGGUGAUGGUCUGAUAGGUCAUAUUCAUAUUUUCCCUCAUCUAUCUCCAUACAUUCAUAGUAUUUUUACAUAUUUUGGUUGACUAGGGCAAAAUCUAUAGCGCUGUGCUGAUCUCUACUCCAGGUUCUCCUUCCUUUGCAGCUGGGAUCUCCAUUUAAUAGCGUUAGGUCAUAUUUUUCCAUUAGGUCCAUAGCGUAUUUUCCAUUUUGGUCAAGUUCUUGUGUCCCUAUGAAACCUAAAUGCCCAUUGAAAUCCCCAAGGACAAUCACAGGCAGGUCUGUGGCUUUCUCUAUUGCUGCAUGUAAGGCGCUUAUUAUUCGUUUAUUUCUUUCUUUAUCACUAGUUGACAUGUAGACUAGAAUUAGGUUAAAUAUGGCUGUUCCUUAAUUAACCUUUACUAUUAGAAUGUCUUUGUGUUCCGACAUUUCUUUUUCCAUCUGGAUCUCUCCUUUGGCUCUAUAUAUUAUUAGUAAACCUCCUUGUUUGGUGUCGCCUUCAUCUCUCAUUGAGUCUACCACUCUGAUGCUUGUACAUAGUUUUGUUUUCUUUUGUUAUCUCCACUAGCUCGAUUAUUUUGCUUUUGUCAGUCCUUGGAUGUUUAUGAGCUUUAUUUCAAGAUUUCUUGAUGUAUCUUCUGUCUUGCUCACUAUCUUUUCACUUUCUCUAUUUACAAAAUUGCUUCUACCAUAUAGACAUUUAUCCAUCAUUUGCGAACAACUUUUUUCUUCUAGGUCAAAUAGUCUAAGAUUGUUACUAAAGUUACUUCCUUCACCUACCUGCCCUAAAUUAAUUUCCCUUCUUCUACUCCCUACCUCAGAAUUCUUAACAUACUACUAGAUAUUCUAUUUUCUCUUAAAUUAUUUACACUCCUAGAAAUAUUAUUACUCCCUGUCUCUAAAUUAUUUACAUUUCUAUUUUAUAUUUUCCUACCUCUAACUCAUUUACACUUCUAACAAUUCUAUUGUUUCUAUCUAUAGUUCCCUGGACUUCAUUUUUAAAGCAUUCUAGUCGUCUGAAAGUUUUCCCUUCUCUUCAGCUCUCCCUUACUUAUGAACCAUCCUUCCUCUUUGUUAUCUUGCUUUUUCUUUAAUUCAGAUCUUAAUAUGCUAUCUUUUUCUCUUUCUUUCGCAGUCAUGUCUGGUACUAUAGAUAUUUUCUUGUAAAUAUCCUUCUUUGCAUUCCUUAGCAGUCUGGCACUUUUUAAUAUGUUCCACUUUUCCCUCUCAUUGCUGAGUUUCACUAUUAGUGCUCCGGGCCUUGAUCUGCCCAUCGUCUCAUUGUUUUGUCCUUGUUGCAGUCGUGGCCUACCUAACCUUACUAUAUCUUUAAUUUUCCAUUCGUCUUUAUUAAGGUCAAGUUCUUUUGUGAAAAUUUCGUUGCACCUCUCUUCAUCUAGCUUACAGUUUGCUGUUUCCUCUCCUGGUUGAGGCUCUGGCAAGUUGAAUAUGAUCAGGUUUCCUUCCUUCUGUCUUUGUCCUGGGCCUCUCUUAUUUCUUCCUGAAUUGUUUCCCUUAUUCUACUGCUGCUGAGGAUCUCUUCCUUUAUGUCUUUUGCUAGGGUCUCUUUAAUGUCCCUAAUCUCUUCUUUUAUGUCUUUGACUAGGGACUCUUUAAUGUCCCUAAGGGUUACUUCUAUUUAUAGAAGUCUACCUUUAAUCGUCUGGUUCUCUUCCCUGAGUUCUUUGAUCUCCCUAUCCUUCUGGUCUCGACUCUUCUGCACAAUACCAGUUUAUUACAUCUACCGCUCUCUGAAUGCCAGCAUACUGGUCAUUAGUGAUAUUGUCGCAAUUUGUAUGAAACCAUUCCUUACAUUUGUCGCAUUCUAACGCCUUUUGUUGCCUACCUACUUCCCUUCUACACUGUGGGCACGUGUCCCCUGAAUUUUGGUUAGGCCUAGCACGGAUAUCAACUCCAACUUCGCUAUCCUGCCAUUUCUUAUAUGUGCCCUAAAUAUGCAGAAAUGUAAAUCAGUGUUGCAAUACUUCCUUGUUCGUGAUAUUAGUAUUAAGUUCCAACACUUGUUUAGUAAGACGAAGACCUCUUUGCCUUUGUAAGGCCUCAUCUAAUUGUAUUUCUUGUACUCUGUUCGGAGCUUUCUUGAGAUUUUUCAAUAUUUCUUCCAUCGCCCGUACUCAUGUACACUCUGUUUAAGCAAUCUUAACCUUUACAUAUAAUUUGUAUGAUCAUUCUCCUCAAUCUUCUGCCCAUCUGUAUAAUUCUGCCUUAACGAACCUUGCAUUAUAUCCUUCUAGUGAUUGAUUCUGUGUUUAUAUUUACUUUACU